AACGGCACGUGUUUUCGCCGCACGCACUCGCAUCGCAGGUGGCCGUUGUCGGCGUCUACACGAAGAAGACGAGGUGAAGCGAGGCUCGAGGGAGAAGAAGAAGGCCUUCCUGAUCUCCCGUUUGGACCGCGGCAGUGCUUUUUAUUUACCCCAGGGCACAAGUUCGCCCACAAUAAAUAGUUGUAUCUGUAUUCCCUUAACUGUCCGUUACAAUUCUGGUGGAGGUGCGGGGUAAUGAUUUCCAGCCCUGUUCAAGUUGGAGAAAGCAGCCCGGAACCACGCCAGCUCAGACCCAACGAGCUUACGCCCGUCCACCAGCGCACGAGCCGUCGCCUACGUGGCUAUGCGGAUUCUGGAGAGAUCCCUACACCCUCCAGGAACCUGCUGCACUGCUGAAAGCGGGGAAGUACAACGAUAAAGCACCUGAUCUGCAUGCUUUCACAAAGGAUGGUAAGGAGGUUGAAACACAUCCUUGACAAAACAAGGGGUGCCGGUGGUGCCGAGCCCGUCGCAGUCAUGUCAGCACCAAAAGCUACACAGCAAGGCACUUCGACACUGCGAAGAUCAAAAACAUGUCAUCGAUGCUUGCGCGCAGGUUUUGAAAUGUGCUAAAUAAAAGUUAGAUGUCGA